rfam:Dipodomys ordii contig_33444, whole genome shotgun sequence.
GGUGGCUCAGUGGUAGAGUACUUGCCUUGCAUGCAUGAGGCCCUGGGUUCAAUUCCUCAGCACCA